rnacentral:rRNA from 1 species
GACAGCAGUCGCCGCGGGAACACAGAGGGUGCGAGCGUUAAUCGGAUUUACUGGGCGUAAAGCGUGCGUAGGCGGCUAAUUAAGUCGGAUGUGAAAUCCCCGAGCUUAACUUGGGAAUUGCAUUCGAUACUGGUUAGCUAGAGUGUGGGAGAGGAUGGUAGAAUUCCAGGUGUAGCGGUGAAAUGCGUAGAGAUCUGGAGGAAUACCGAUGGCGAAGGCAGCCAUCUGGCCUAACACUGACGCUGAGGUACGAAAGCAUAAGGAGCAAACAGGAUUAGAGACCCCCGUAGUCCCUGUCUCUUAUAC